rnacentral:RNase_P_RNA from 1 species
AAUACGAGUUGGCUUAUCGCGGCUGAGCAAUCAGAUGAGGAAAGUCCGGGCAGCGCAGAGCACCUUACUUCCUAACGGGAAGGCGGACGGCUGGGAACGGCCGUUCGACAGCUAGUGUCACAGAAAAUAUACCGCCGAAAGGUAAGGGUGAAAAGGUGGGGUAAGAGCCUACCGCCCAACGGGUGACCGGUGGGGCAGGAUAAACCUUAGGGGCUGAAAGACCAAAUAAGCGUCGGAUGUGGGGCGGCUCGUUCCCGUUUCGGAGCAAUCCGAAUGCCGACGCGGGUAGGUCGAACGAGGUGGCCGGUGACGACCAUCCUAGAUAAAUGAUAAGCCAUCUGGCCGAGCUAAUAAGCUUUGCUGGAGGACAGAACCCGGCUUAUAGACUCGUAUUGCAC